rnacentral:lncRNA from 1 species
UAUAAACAGUGUUCUAAACCCUAAAACUCACCGAAAAGGACUUGGGUCCUUGCUAAAAGUGUCUAAAUUGUCCUAAAACGGCACAGAAUCAGCAAAUAAGAGCUUCCUAAGUGUGCGAGACGAACUAAAGAAUUUCAAUUGCCCGUAACUGAAAUUUAACGCUGAACAAGAAUUGGUGAAUACCGAACCUUGACGAAAGGGAAAAGAAACUGCUUCUGGUGUGCAAAACGCUCGCUGUCACUUGUGCCUUCGCCGGAGAAGAAGAUGAAGACGCAAAGGUAAGAAGGAUGAAGGAGAGGAGAAGGACGGGGAAGGUGUCGCGGAUGAAUCACACAAGAUAAAGGGAAUUUGGAGAGAGAGCCUCUAUAUCAAGAGAUUGAGGAAGAGGUUGAUAUAGAGGCGGAGAGGCUACUGGCGGAGGGGGCCAAGGCGAAGGUGCCGAGGCGGAGAGGGUUGAAGGAGACGUGCGAUUAUGCGAGGUCAAAGACGAAGAGGGUGUUCAGGGAAGAAGAGGUGCGACUAUGAGUUAUUUAUUUUCUCCUAUUUCCAAACUCAAACCAUCCAACUCAAAAUUUAACCCAAAAAAGAAUAAUUAAUUCGUCGUCAUAUUACCAUUUGAUUUACAUAUAUUGAUGGAUAGAUAUUGAUUUCUAUACUAUGUAUUAUAAAAAUAUAUAUACAUUUAAAAUUGGUACAAUGGAAACAAAUUUUAUUUGAUUGAUUAAUUGUAAUAAGGAUGACAGAGACGAUGUGAAACAUUAUGCAUUGUUAUCGGUUGAAAAAUGAACUAGGACUAGAUGCAAAAAAAAAUUUCUCUAACCGUUAGAACAUCACGUGCAUAAACAAUUAAAUCAUGAAUAAAUAUAGCCGAUGUGAAUAAUUUUUCAAGUUGGAAUUGCUUUUGUUCUGAACAUAACUAUAUUUUAAAUUCGUAUCACCAAAAUGUUGCAAAAUCAUUAUCCAAACACAAAUGAAAAAUUCGACUUCUCGAAUUUGAGUCUGCUAGAAACUUAGAAAGUGAGAAUUUCGACUCUCUUUAUUCUCUCCUUGUGUAUAACGAGUUUUAUGUUUUUUUUUUCCUGGUAUGUAAAUAAAACCCCUAAGGUCUUAUUUAUGAGCUUCACAAGGCUUUUUAAUAAGCUUCCAAUUUUCUAACUCGACUUAUUAAUUAGAUCUCCUAAUAAGAAUUCUCUUAUUGGACUUAUUAAUUACAUUUCCUAAUAGGACUCCAAUUCUUCAAUUGAAUUUAUUAAUUACCCAACCUAAAGAUAAAUUCGAACCAGUUCUUUCGUGAGCGAUCUGUUAGGAUAAUUUAAUGACAAUGGCCCAUAACUCGUUUUGUGGUCAUACGUCAUAAUUGGUCUCUAGCAAGACAUUAUGAUUACCCAAGUUGGUUAUCCAACAUAACCUAAAUCCUUUUAUCACAUGAUAUCUAUAAUUGAAUAUAAGGUCGGGGUAAAGUCACCAUGUCUAAUUCAAUAUUAAAAUUAUUGUUUAUGAGAUAAAUUUAUAUUUGAAUAUGAUUCAAUUAUUAAAUUAAAUAUAAGAUAUUUAAUUUAACUAUUAGUUAUAUGGAGAAUUAAUUAAUAGAUUAGUUUAUGGGGCAUUUUUAAAAAUAACAAAAUAAAUUAAAAUAUAUACAAGCUAUAGAAAAAUUUUAGAUUCUAUCACUAUAAUAUAUCAAUGACUAUAAGUGAUAGAAUUUGCUAUAGGUUGUAAAUAUUUUGUGAAAUCUACAAUUUUUAAAAAUUUCCUUUAGUUUAAUUUGAUUUGAUUUAAUUAAAUUAAUUCAAAACUAUAAAAUAUAUAGUUGGAGAAAUGUGAUUUAAAUGAAAUAUUAAUGAGUUAGUUGAUUUAAAAUUUUUAUUAAUUUAAUAUCUUGUAAAUUAAUAAAAUCUCAUUAUUCUCUCCUACUCCCUCAAGGGGAGUUAAAAGUUAAAAUAUGCAAAAAAAAAAAAACAGUUUUUCUUAAUGAUGAAAAAUCCAAUGCUUUUGCACUCUAAAAAAAUAGUUUUCUCUUUAAAACUUUUUUCAUCUCAAUGGGUUCCAACAAACCAAUCUCAUCCUAGAUGAUAGAAAGGUCUUCAACGGGUGGUGUCUCCAAAUUUGAAGAUUUGGUAGAUUAAGAGAGAGUAGACAUCAAACUAAGUAAGUUUUUCUCUCUCUAAUUUGUACUUAAUUAAAGCAUGCUUAAUAAGAAAAUUAAUUUCUUGAUUAUUUUUUGUCAAUGUAUUGGUAUUUUGGGUUUCUCAAAUUAAAUUGAGGAAUGAUUCUGUAAAAUCUUCCGUUACCAAAGGUUUUUAUCCCUUCAACAUAUCAUGCACAUCCAAAAAUUCUCAAAUGAGAAGUAUUUGGCUCAUGACCAUAUGUUGCUGGCCAACCUGACCUAAUACACACAAGUAGUGAUGCAACAUGCAAAAUAGCUAGCUCUCAUAAGCAAUUAUAUACAAACAUUUUAUAAAUGAUUUUACUAAACCAUUUUGUGUAUGAACAUGAGCUACAUGAUGUUCAACACUUAUAUCCCAAUAAACAUACAAUAAUUAUCAAAUGUUUGAGAUGUAAAUUCAUCAACAUUAUCAAGUUGAAUGUUUUUAAUUUAUAUAAUCGGAAUAACGUGCUCUUGACUUAAUUAUUUGAGCAAGUAAUUUUGCAAAUGCAAGAUUUCGACUUGAUAAAAAGUACACAUAUGAGGUUAGCACACGCUAGGCCUUAAGCCAAUGCAGCACGGCCAACCCCCUACACCAUGUAAAUGAGCACCGUUUGGGCUGAUUUUAAGUUGUUUUUGGCUAUCUUAAUAUUUUUGGACAUUUUAAGGAAAAUUUUGGAUAUUUUUAUAUUCAAGAAAUUAAUUAAGGAUAAAGUAUGAAUUUUUUAGGACAAGGAGAAUUAGGAGAAAUUUCCUAGACCAAGACUAUAUUCAAGUGAUUGUGAGUAACAUAAUAUUUUAUAUAUAUAUAUAUUACGUAAAGAAUUUAUGAUGGGCUGGAAUAUUCUUCUUGGAAACCCUAGCUCUUUUAUCUUAUUCUCUGAGCAAUCAUUUUUCUUUUUUUGAUUUCAUUCUCAACUCAAGCGAGUACACAUGAGUUGGGAAAGUUGUGUUAACCUUGGGGAGCAAUUGACAUAAGCGAUUUAGCACCGAGGUCGCACCAAAUUUUGCUUUGAGGGCAGUGUUUCGACACAGCACAACUAUGAUCAACAUUUAUUUUUCCUACAAUCUGAAAGCAAAAUUUAUUUUUAAAUGUUGAUCAAAUCUGGAACAUCAUCCGUGAAGAAAUUUCCAAAAUUUCACAAUGAAGAUAAUGAAGAUCUUGAAACAUCAGUGUCAGAGGACUUAUGUUAUAUUCUUUGAGUUAGAGGUCGUGGAUUACACUAUUGCUUUGGAUUAUUGUGUCCACAAAGGACUUCCAUUAUCAGCUUAUGGGAAUCGGCAUUUCUCUUGGUUCAAGAGAUAAUUUUGGUUGUCGUUAUCCCACGAAUGGAGAUGAAGAACGAACACUUUCACUGAAAUGAGGUACACAUUUCUCAAAUUUCAUAUUUGCUGGGAUUGAUGAUCGAAGGUAUUGGAAUCGUAUCUCCAUUGAAGAAUUGAGGUAAGUCAGAUUCAUCUAUCAAUAUCGAAGCUGAACUAACUUGUUUAUGUCAUUUGACUGCAUUGCAAUGAGUUUUGUGGAAUUAGGAUGUGUUAAUCAAUCUAUUCUUGUUGUUUAUCAUUCAUGUUUAAAAUGGUGAUAGAAUUUAAUGGAAUAUAUUUUUGGCUCUUGCUUUUCAUUAAUAUCAUUUUGUUAUAUCUGAUUGUUUCUUGUGGAAUUUUAGAACAAUGAUUGGCCUAAUGUUAGGACACGUGGAAAAUAUAUUUAACUCUCUACCUCUAAACAUCUUAAACGGAAUGCUUAUUCAAAGCGUUAAACUUGGUUAUCUCAUUGACAUUUAAUGAUCUUUUGAAAGGUUAACUACUAGAUAAACCUAAUUGUUUGAAGUACUUGAACCAUCUAAAUUUGACCAAUUUACAUGAUUGUGACAAUGUAUUUUGGUUUUGUUGGCUUUACUACAUAAAUAGUUUAAAUGUAGACAAUCAUAAUUUGAUUGGUGGUUUAUUCCACAAAUUUAAUUUCUACACACGGUAUAAGAAUUAAUAGCUAGUUUAGCUCCAUGCUAUAUUUGAGGAUGAUAUUCCGUAUGUAUAUUUGAUGAGCAUAUACUAUAAUAUCUCGUAUAGUGUUUGACAAAUUUAUGUUAUAGUAUUGAGAUGCUAUUGUGACAGAGUUGUGUGUCACUUAUGUCCUGAAUUGUCACAUAAUUUGAAAAUUUUAUUUCAUGUCUAUAUUUGAGCAUGAUAUGCAAUAUGCGUUUGAUAAGUAUAUAUUGAAUAUUUCAUUGGCAAGUAUAUUGGUUCAUAGUUAUUGUAUUGCUAUUAAUACCAUAGUUGAAAUGCGAUUAUGUUGAAUUUGAGUUAAUCAACAAAAUGAUACCAUGAAACUUUUGAUAUAUUGUGCAUCCAAAUAUUUGAAAAUGUGGGGGUGUCAAACUAAGGUAUCAUAUCUAGUGUUCAAGAAAUAUUUAGUAUGAUUAAAAACAUUUGACUAUGUUUAUUGAUUAUGCUCACAGUAGUAUCACAUAUAGAUUUAUAAGUUUAAAUGAUAAAUCAAUUUGUGAAUAUUGAGACACUAUUUUGAUCUACUUGAACAUGUUUAUUAGCAUGAUAGUAUGAGUAGAAAUAUUUAUCAUGUAUGUUAUAUUUAACAAAGUUAAUAUAUGACUUACAUCAUGAAUUGUUAAGAUUAGUAGUAUAACAUCAUUUGCAUAUUACUCAAGUUGGCUAGUAGUAUGAAAAUAUGCAAAUUUCAUUGCUUAUGAAGCUCAUAAGAUUUUAUGGAAGUUUAAGGUAUUGUUUAAGCUAUCAAAUAUGUGAUAUCUUAUAAGGCAUGAGGACUUAUACCCUAAGUUAUCCCUAAAAAGUGGUAUAAAGAGUCGUGUCCCUGGUUUAGUCUUGUUGAUCUAACCCUAGGUUCGAACAAAGGUGUAGUGGAACCAUAAAAAAAAAAAUAGUUACAAUAUUAUUCAUGGUUGAGCUCUAUUAAAUAAUCAAUGUGUUCUAAAGAGGAGGAGUUAACCUACCUAGAUAAGAGUUAAAUGAAUAAGUGUCUAUUUUAGGGGAGGUUCAGUUGGAACUUUGUUCGAGGGGAGGAUUGUUGGGAAUGUGAUCAAAGUCCCACAUUAGAUAAGGAAACUAAUCAUAAAUACACAGGUGCAACUUUAUACUUAUGAAAAAUAUUUUGAAUCAAACGUGGAAUCUAGAAUGUUUUGAUUUUUGUUCUCAUAUGCCUAAAUUAGCCAUUAUAGAGCACCUUAAAAACUUUUGUAGCUGUAUGUGAUCUUCCAAUACAUCAAGUGUAUGUAAAGAUGAUAUUCCUCAAUGGUAAUUUGGAAGAUUCAAAUUUCGUUAUGAUCCUUAACUAGUUUAAAGGUUUAAUGAGAAAAACUUUAACAACAGUUAUUUAGUAAACAAUGUCUUGAGAAGUGAAUUAUUGAUAUAUGUGUUUACUAAAAGUUGUUUGGAGUUGAUUGCGUGAUUAUAUGUUUGUAUGUUGGUGUAAUUUAUGUGAUACAAACAUAAACAUUAGUAAUGCUAUAAAGUUAUCACAUUUUGAACUGAAAGAUUUAUGUGAGACUAAAUGUUAUGCACUUAGUAUUAUUUGAGAAUGUUUUGGUUUAUGUCAAUCACACACUGAAUGCUAUUAAAAAGAUUUGACAUUUUAAUGAUGCUCUUGUAAGAACAUCUUAUGAUGCUAGUAUGAGCCUUAAGGAAAAUAAAUGAGAUGGUUUCUCUCAAUCUGAAUAUGCGAGGAUUAUAGAAAGUACUAUGUUUUGAUAAACUGUACAAGGAUGUGUUAUUGCAUAUAUUGUAAGAAGAUUGAGUACAUGUAUACACAUAAUUCUUAUUAGGAUUAUUGUAUUGCUCUUCAUCAUUUAUUGAGAUAUCUUAAGGUUACAAUUGAUUUUGAUUUGCAUUUUAAAUUAUUGUCUACCAUACCUAGAGAGGCAAUAUUGCUAGUGAAUAUGUGUUCUUAAUGAAAAAUGUAUCAUUGUAUGGGGACAUGAGUAUGAAUGAUAUAAAGCCCAAUGGUAGAAGUACCAUUGUGGGGGGCUCUAUACCAGUAUAAUUUUAUUGAGAUUCAUACACUGUUAUAUAGAUUGGUAAGAAUAGUAUGUUACGGCAAUAGAAAGCAUAUUCGCCUGAAUGUGGAGUUGUGAAAUGAUAGUUGAAUGAAAGAAUUAUCUUCUCAAAGUAGGUAAGGUCUGAAGAACUUUGUAAAUCAUUUUUUCGAAAGUCUACCAAGGAGAGUAAUUCUAGGAUUUUCAACAAGUAUGAGAUUCAAACACUUGAUGGUCCAUAGCCCUUUAUUUGGGUGGUUUACUGCGAUAGACUUGAUGGUCCAUAGCCCUUUUAUUUGGGUGAUCUAUCGUUUAUUUGGGUGGUCUACUGCGAUAGACUUGAUGGUCUGUAGCCCUUUUUUGGGUGGUCCACUGCGGUAAGCUUGAUGGUCUAUGGUCACGUGUGGGCAAUCCUUAAAUGGAUUUGAUGGAUGAAAUUAAAACAUUUGAAAAUUUCAUAACCCUUAUUUGGGUGGUCCUGGUAUGGACUUGAUGGAUAAUUGAAAAAUCUUCAUAGCUCAGUUUUGAGUGGUCUAUUGUGAUAGACUUGAUGGAGCAAUAAAUAUGAUUGUGAUGGUGUGGCCGCCUUCUAUGAAAAAGUUUAAGGAUCUUUUUCUAGAGCUUUCACGUUGACCCGAGGUUCUAUGUGCAUGACCUUAAAUAACACAAUUUUGAGUGGUCUAUGGUGAUAGACAUUAUUGCGGAAUCAAUGAAAAUUUAAGAAGUAAAACGUAUUGUGGGGGUCUCAACCGUUGUUAUCGAAAGUUCAAAAGGCAAUUAACUUACUUUUGAUGAUUUGGAUUGUUGUCCCACCUCACUACGCAUCAAUUCAAAUCGAAAGAUAUUGAUGUUUAAGUUUAUACUACUUCUUUCUUUGCUCAAAUAAUUUUUUCCCUCCCCGUUUUAACUAGAAUGCAAUGAUAGUCAUUCGUGGGGGAUUGUUGGGAAUGACCAUCAUUGUACUGUUUUCUAAUUCAUAUUUUAAUUGGAAAUUGAUAAUUGUUAUUAUUUAUUUUAUUUUAUAAUUAUUAUUAUCAUUUAUAUAUAUAUUAUGUAAAGAAUUUCUGAUGGGCUCAAUUAUUCUUCUUGGAAACUCUAGCUCUUUUCUCUUAUUCUGUGAGCAAUCAUUUUUCUUUUUUUGAUUUCAUUCUUAACUAAAGCGAGUGCACGCAUGAGUUGGGAAAGUUGUGUUAACAUUGAGAAGUAAUCGGUAUAAGCGAAUUAGCACCGAGGUCGCGUCGAAUUUUGCUUUCAGGGCAGUGUUUCGACACGACACAACUAUGAUCAACAUUUAUUUUUUCUUGAGAAAAUUCUAUUUCAAUUUGGUUUCAAGAAUAGGUAAUUUUACUUUAAGAUUUGAUUUAAGAUUUGAUUUUGUGUUUCAAUUUCACACAUUUAGCUUUUGUUUCAUUUAAAACUCGCUUUCAAACUUUUGUCGAUUAAUGAAUUUAAAUUGAAACAAAAUUGUUACAUGUAUCCAUCUGCGAUUUAACUUCAAUCUUUUAUUUGUACACAAUACUAGUAAAAUUUAAUUUUUUGUUCUAUUUAGUCAAUACAUUUUAAGUUUCACUCAUUUUUUCAAAAUAAAUAUACUCAACUAAGUUAUAUUUUUCACAAUUAUUAAAAAUAAAUAUAAAUUUCAUAUAGAAUUAUUUUUCACGUUGAAUUAUUUUUCACAAUUACGAAACGUAUAGAUAUUCAAAUCUAAAAAUCAAACUUAAAAUCUAAAAAUCAAAUUGAAACAAAAUUGAAAAAUGUAACACCUUGUAGUCUUUAAACCAAAUUGAAACGUAAUUUACUCAAAAUUACUUUUUUUUAUUAUUAUUAAAAUUAUUGCUUAAAAACCUAGGGAUAAAUUAGACCCAAAAUUUUUAAAACAAAAAAUACAAUUUAUAAAAAAAUAAUAUUUGAAAAUUUCAAUACUAAAAUAAGAUAUAAUUUAAAAGAAAAAGAAAAAAAGGAGAAGAAAGAGCCAAAUUAAUUUUUUUUUUUAAAAAAAAGAAAGAAAGAAGUUAAACGAUUUAAAUAAAUUAAAAAAACAGUGGAAUGCAUUGUUGAAGAGAUACACAUCGUAACAAACAAACAAAAACACUAUCUUCUCAAAUUUAAUUUUAAACAACUAUUUUCUCAAAUUUAGAAAAAAAAAAGCUCAUAACACCUCUUUUUUGCAUAUUGCAAAUUUAACAAAUUUGAUGAUAAUGAGACCAUAAUCAUAUGAUAAUUUGUUUUCAAAUUUGUUAUUUUUGUAAUUUAAAAAAUAUAAGUAACAAGAGUUUUAUUAUCAUAAUUUAUUAUUUAUUAUUUUUAUUUUUUGCUAUUUUUGCAAACUCCCCCUUAAAAAAGUAUAAAACUUAUUUAAUUUAUACAACCUACCAAACCAUGGAAGAAGACUUAUAAUCAUAUAACUUACACAACCAACACGUAUUAAAUUCCUAGAAUUUAAAUAAUUUAACUUUCAAGUUAUAAGAAGAAUGACAGAAGGAAGAUAUCAUUUACAAAACAAUAUCUAAAAUUAAAUACCAAUAAUUAAUCAAACGUAAAUUAAAAAUAUUCAAUUAUUAUUUUCAUUUCUUUUUGUUCAAAAACCCAAUAAAAGAAAUAGCCAAAUUUCUUACACUCCUUCACUAAAUAAGAUUUUAGGGGGGAAAUUAGGAUACUAAACCAAGAACAAAACCUAUUAUUUUACCUAAAACUGCAACAAAAAUUAUUUUAUACCUGGGACCAUCAUGAAUGCAACCUACAUCCUUUGGUUUGUCAUAUACUUCUACAAUCGUUUUAAAACUAGAUCACUAAACAAAUAUAGUCAAUGAAAAGCUUUUUAUCAUUAGUGUACUUCAACCAAAAAAAAAUUAAUGGCUAAAGAAAAUAAUUACUCUGUUUAUUGGAUAUGUAAAAGAAAAGAAAAUCUUAACAAAAACCUUCAUAAAUGGAGUCACGGUAUCACCAAUAAUCAAACCAUAUCUAGAAUAGAUAGCUUGGAGAAGAAUGUGCAAAUACAGAGAAUGAGAAUAUGUUAUGAUUUCUCAGCUUUUUACUUAAACUUCACUUAAAAAUCUACAUACUCUAUGUUCUCCCUAGAACAAACAUUAAAAAAACAACUAUACAACUUCAAGAAACAGCUAGUUACAUUUCGGUAUCGCUAUGGUUUUAUUUAAGUUGAAAUUUUUGUUCUUAAUCCCCCAAUAUUUUUAUUCUUUAACAUUUGAAACCUUGAAAUCUUUGUUCUUUUGUGUUACAGUCCCUGUUGAUAAAUGAUAAUCCCAUAAAAAGUGUUCAAAACCAAAGUUGGAAGAGAAACAUGGAACCUCACCAAAAACAAAACAUCACUAGGGUCUCCCGCAACACCUCUAAACACGCUAUUGUUCUUCUCUAAACACUAUGUUGUUCUCCCCUAAAUGGAUACCAUAUAGAAUUCAGUGCAAAAUGUAACAUAUAUACUGUUAAUUACAUAAGUUUUUAAUGUGAAAUCCAGAAUUCAAGCAAUUGAACAUAAUCAAAAUUGAAAAUCAUAACUCAAAAAGGCAAUAAGUAAUAUAUCAUUGGUCACAGUCAAAGAAUGAAGAGAUUAAAGGGAGGAAAAGAAAACAAAUGGUUACCCGAAGCUUGAAAUUUGGUUUCAGUUUGAUUAGUUACCCAUUCCCCUGUCUCGCGAAGCCUUUUCAAGAGUGGCCCUUCAUAGUUUCCAGUAAAACUCAUAAAAACAUGUCAAAUGCAGCCUUCUUAUCUUCUUCCCGAUCCCUAAGAAUCAAAAUUUGGCAAUCACACGAUAAAUCAUAUACCCUUCCCCAAGUUAACAUCUUCUAACUUAAAGGACAAGAAAAUCAACAUCUCCAAAUUUAAGAAAACCAACAAGAACGUUGAAUCAAAAUAAAAGGUAUUAAAAGAUAAAUAGAACUCUGAGACUUUCCUAGGGUCGGCGUCUCAAUAUUAGACUAGACUUAUAAUUUAACAAAAUAAUCUACAUCAAUUCACAAAGCAUGAAAUCAAGAAAACAAGAAAUUACAACUUGCAAGAACUAAAAAGUUCAAAAAAAUUUAAGAGUUAAUUACAGAUUUGGUUAACUACAAUCAAAAUAGAGCUUGGAGAAUAGAAUCAUACCCUCGAUAUUGUUGUAUUCAAGAAGGGAGACGUAGGCGCCCAUAUCGGCGAUGUUCUUGACUUGAAUCAUGACAACCAUAUCGACCUCUGGGUACUUUGCCUCGUAAAUCCGACACUCGAGGUUAGAGGAAUGGGAAGCCAUUGUUGAAAGGGUUGGAGAGAGUUCAAAAAUCAAGAAAUGACAUUUACAAAAGAAAAUAUAAAUAGACAAAGACGGUGAGGGAAACGAGAGAGAGGGAAGAGUGAAGAGUGAAGAGUUACCUUUGGUGUUUGGACUCACUACCACUAGAAAUCGAUGAACUGCAAUGAGAGAACUGCCAUGAGGGAGAUCAACGAUGAGCGAACGGUGAGGUGAGGGAGAUGAGAAAAUCGACACAAGGGAAAAAGGGAGAAUAGACGAAUGAAGCAAAUGAAGCAAUGAAGAAGUUAAGGAGAUGCAAUGGUUGGAAGUUGAAAAGUUAUUUGGACAAGCCCAAAAGUCAUAAAAUUAAAUGUUUAAGGACUUAUGUAUUUAUUUAAUAUUUUAAUUAGUAUAAAUAUGGUUGUAAUUUAUCCCUUUAAGAUAAGAAUUUGAAUGAAUGAAUUUGGAAAUUCUAAAAGUGUAGAAUUUUGUUUAUGUGUGUUCUUGUGAUAGAAUGCACGAAUAUUUGAAGCAUUCAAGUGAGAAUUGAUCUAUCUUACUUGUGUGGAGUGCUUUAAAGAUCGAGGAUUGAUGAGAGUUUUUAACUUUAUCUAAUCCUCGAUUUGUUAGAUCAUCGAACCAAUUUAGGGGUUGAAAUCAAAUUGGUUUUGGGAUGUUGGGGUUGUGUUCUUUUUUUUAGAUCCAAUGUGCAGGGUUUCAUAUCACUAUUGUCAGCAAAGAACUUUCAACAAGAAUAGAAAGGUAACGCCCUGAGAUUUUUCUAUUAUAAAUAGACUUCAAACAGAACGCCAAAGGCUUACCUUGCCCAUGGUCCUUUGGAUUUCAUGCUGCUACCAUGUCCUUACACACCAAUGAAGUUAGAAUUGGGACUGAUAUAUGUGUCACGGCAUGUUUGGUAUGUCUCUAGGGAACGAUCGGAUAUGCCAAGCUUUCCUGUCACGUGGCUGGAGGCCAACAAUGGAUGCAAAAGAGUAGUAGUUAAACUCAAGAUGUGCUCGGUUUGACCACAUUCACAUCAUUGUUAGAUUCCGCAAUUUUCGAGUUAACAAGUACUCCCUUCAAGCUCUGAACCUGAGUCCGAGAUUCCUUACUAUAAGCUUAGCUAUUGAACACAAUGUCAAUAGAUGCAAUGCAUUAGGUUUGAAGUCUCCCAUCAAAUUCACGCAAGAGCAACUUAGAAUUAUUGACAACCCGUCUGCUCUCACAAACUAUAUAACUACACAGUUCAUGCCUGGGUGAUGGCCUAAGAGACUUCAGCUCAAUGAGGGGAUUUGUAACGACAUAUUUACUACACAUCUCCCUUGCAGGUUGAACAUGCUUCCACCAAAAAUCCGACAAAGCAAUCUUCAAGACGUCCCAAUAUUCGACAUCUCGAUACAAUCUAAACAAACUACUACCAUUAGGAGUCCAAACAUAAAAGUCCAUCCAAUCUCUAUCCAUUAUUUCCAUCAAACCUUGAGCCUGAGGAAUACAGUAAAGAGGAACUCGUGACCAUGGUGAAGCAUUUCUCAUAUCACCAUUAAAAAAUGGGCACUUAAUCUCCAAAACACCUUGUGAAGGCAAUCCAUAAAUCAUUUUAUCAAUUGCACCAUCAGGUGAAGCAGCCAACCAAUCAUCUUCCGAGUUUGCUUUACCAUAGACUUGAAAUUCGGGAAACAAAACAGAGUUUCCAGUAAUAAGCUUGUAUCUUUCGAGUGCUUCUUCUUCUUUCAUAUUACUCCAACAAGUAGCAAGAUUACCACAAAAUUGAUCAAUCGCCCCAAGUUUCUCCAACCAUAGUUGAACCCUUCGACGAGGCCAAAACCCAAUUGCCCCAGCAAAAGUACUUGCUGUUAACUUAUGCUUUCGAAGCUCUUGCCAAUUUUUGAACCAAUGCUGAAAACUAGUGGACUGAAGAACAGAAUAGUGAUUAACCGUUUCAAAUUGUAAAGAAGAAGAAGAAACGGAAUUGAAAUUCCGUAUAGAACAGUUCCCAAUAGCUUGACUACAGGCAAAUAAUAUCUUUUUGCAAUUGAACAUCGAUUGUUUCUGAAAUUAAAGGAACCGAAAGACACAAAGAUCAAGAGCCAUCCAGAGUUAGUGGACAGAAUCAGCUCAGAGAAGAAAGUCCCAGUAAAUAGAGAAGAACCUCGGCUUCACCCAUUAACUAGAACGCUUGGAAGUACAAGUUAAAGCUCUAAACAGAAUACCUGGGGCUCUCAUAUGAAAAGCCAUUUCCAUUUCAUUUCGAAAAGAUUGAUACAAGACUAUAUUCCUAGUAGCACAAAUUCUUAUCAAAUGGGUUUAUUUCACUCGAAUUCCUCUCAGCUCAAAUGAAUUAAUAAGUUGAAACAAAUGUCUAUUCCAAACAUCUGGGUUUCUUUGUCUACAUAGUAAUUGAAUAAAUUUUAGGAUCACCUUGCUGGAGGACUUAGAGACGUGACAUGGUGGAGUGGAGGUGGCGAAGUUGGUAGUGAGGAUGACGAGAUGAAGUGGAAAGCGAUUUUAGGGUUUUUCAGUUUUAAUUUGGUUACUAUUAUAAACGUACAUAUCAUAAGUUAUAUAAGCAACGUUCAAUUCCAUGUUGUAACUUCCAAACCUAUUAAAUUUUGUAUUGCACAAGGUAGACUAUGUUAUUAGUUUAUUUUUUAUUUUACAUUUGUGAACAUUACGUGAACUAUUCCACUUAUACCUUAUACAUAGUUUAAAUGUUUAAGAACCUAACCUAAUUUCUUAUGCCUAUUGACAUGUUGUAAUUUUGCAUAUUGUGUUUACAAAAUUAUUGUUUGGUUUAUCUAAUUUGUUUAUGAUUUAUGAAAUUGUUUAUGUUUAUGAUUUAUAAUAAGUUUAGGGUUUGCAUGGUUGUUUAUGUUUUGUUCUUAUUUUAUUUUUUUAAUGUAUAGUUUAUAAGUUCUUUAUAAUUUGUGUCUAAUAAAUUUUAUAAUUUUCUUUAUGAUCUAAAUGUUUUUUUUUUUUUUAUCAAUUUACCUUAGCAUGUUGAUCAUUUUUUAACAUGUUAUGUAUAAGUAUGUUGUAGAAUUAAUGUAUUUUUAAUGCUCAUUGUUUGAUAAUUUAAUUGGUGUAUAUUGUUGUUAAUUUGCCAUAAUAUGUUUAUAUGUAAUUUUAAUUAUUGUGCGGUAACAUGUAUGUUUUGAAAUAUGAUAUCUGUCCCACUGAUUUUUGUAUCAUGUGAAUAAUAUGAUAUGAUAUUCAUCUACAUUGUUUUAGAAUGACAAUGUUUAUUGAAUUUCUAAUAUAAGUAGAUUUCUUUGUUAUAGUUUUUACCAAGACAAGUCUUAUCAAAUUAGAAUUUCUAGUUCUUGAUAUCAAUGAUGAUAAUUAUUUAUCAUGAGUACUUAAUGUUGAAAUUCAUUUGGAUGUCAUGAUUCUUAAAGAAAAGAUUAAAAAAGGAAACAUGACUUCAAGUCAAGAAAAUGUGAAACCCAUGAUUUUCCUUCAACGUCAUCUUCAUGCGAAGCUAAAGAUUGAAUAUCUUAUGGUAAAAGAUCCCUAUAAACUAUGACAAAGUUUAAAAGAAAUGUAUGAUCAUAAAAUAAAAAAUUUGAUUCUUCCUAAAGCUCGAUAUAAUUUGAUGCACUUAAAGUUGUAAGAUUUUAAGUGAGUAAGUGAUUAUAAUUCUGAAUUAUUUAAAAGUUAUUCAAAAUUAUUGUUACGUGGAGAAAAAAUUACUAAUGAAUAUAUGUUAGAGAAACAUUUUCUACAUUUCAUGUCUCGAAUAUGCUUCUAUAGCCGCAAUAUCGAGAAAUAGGUUUUAAAAAGUAUUAUGAAUAUAUAUCAUGUCUUCUUGUGGCUGAACAAAACAAUGAGUUAUUAAUGAAAAACCAUGAAUCUCGACCAACUAAAGCAACACCAUUCUCUGAAGCGAAUGUUGUGUAUUUUCAAACAAUUAUGGUCGUGGUCAUCGUAGAGGAAGGAGUAAUUACACUUUUUGUGGUAAUAAUUAUUCAGAUUUUAGGAAAACAAAUGAUGAUCAUAAAGGGAAGACUCCACAAAAUAAGAACUUUAAAAGUGGUGAAAAUAUUUACUUUUGUUAUGGUAUGAAUGACCAUUGAACUUGUACUUAUUGUACAUCCAAGCACUUAGUCAAUCUCCAUCAAGUCCCAUUGAAGAAAAAAAUGAAAAAAUAUUAAAGUAAACUUUGCCUAUCAAAAUGAUGUAUUAUUUGACCCUUCCAACAUGACACAGUUGAAUGUUGAAAAAUUGAUGUUAACAAAGGAGUAGCAAAUACUUCCUUUAAUUAUGAUAAUGUCCAAAACUAAUAUUUGCACUAUGUUUAUUUUGGUAACUCAAAGAUGGAUAAUGAAGACUUAUGUUUGACAGAUAAUGAUACUACGCACACAAGACUUAAAGUAAAAAAUAUUUUUCUAUAUUGACAAUGCUUGAAGCAAAUGUCAAUACAGUAUCGAGUUCUACAAACAUGAUUGAAGGUUUUAGUAAAGUAAACCUUAUUUUGCCUAGAGGAAUAAAAUUCACAAUUAGUAACGUUUCGUUCUCUAGUAAGUAAAAAAGAAACUUAUCGAGUUUCAAAUAUAUAUAUACAUCAAAAUGGUUAUCAAGUUGAAACUAACAAUAAAUAGAAUAUAGAAUAUCUUUAUGUUACAUUUAUUGUUUCACAUGAAAAGUACAUAUUGGAAACAAUGUCUACCUUUUCUUUUGGAUUAUAUUAUACUCAUAUACGAGUAAUUAAAACAUAUGGAACCAUGAACUCGAAGUUCAUAAAUUUAAAUAUGUACAUUUACCGUUUGGUAUGAUCGAUCAAGUCAUCUUGGGUCAAUAAUGAUAAAAGAAAUUAUUGAAAAUUCUCAUGGACAUUUACUAAAGAACUAGAAGAUUCUUCAAUCCAAUGAAUUUGUUGGGUUUUAUGUCCUAAAACUCAAAUAAUAAAUAUAAUUUAUUGACCGUUAUUAAUAUAGUGUUAUUAUUAUAGUUAAGUGUUAUUGAUUAUAUUAUUAGUUUUGUUUUAAUAACCUAAAUCCAAUAAACUAAUAUCCUAAACUAUUUGAUGAGUCUUAAAUAGUAUGUAGAGACAUACAUGGACAGGAAUAAGGUUGGGUACCUAAUCUCCAACCUUAUCCUGGUAACACUAUGGAUACGACUCACUUUGUAUUUUAUACAAACACAAUGAUCCAACGUGUUCGUAUAGAUGACAUGCGAGUGAGAGUAUUCUAUGUAAUGAGCUUGUAUAAGAUCGAACCACAAAAUAGUAACCACUAGAUGUAAUUCUGUUAACUAGUUAGGUUUCUAUUUCAUUAGAAUGACCUAGGUAACUUAAUCUUAAUAUUGAGUGUAUUAUGAACUCCUGUACAUGAGGAAUUGUUCUUUGAUCUAUAUGAGUGAGAGUGGCCAGAUUGCUAACUCAAUAUGUUUAUCAUUUUGGAGACAAGACCGAGUAGAGAGCUGGAAACUUAAUCACACAAGAUGAAAUUCACUCCUUCCUGACUUUAGAGUAAGUAGAUGAGUAUUCCAUUAAAUUGUGUCUCUGAGACUUGACCAAAGAGUCCUACCCUCUCUAUGGGAUGAAAUGAGUUUCUAUUUUUUAGUUAGACCAUAAACAAGUUGUUCAUUAGAGAAGCAGUUGUAUUUAAGUACUAGAAGUAAUCUAUGGGUAAAACGAUAAUUUGAUCUAAUUGGUGUUACGAACACUUGUGAAGGGCUAACAACUUACUGUUAUUGGUCUAUAUCCGUGGACACUAAAAUAUAUCUACAGUGAGAAGAGUUUAUUUGUGAGUUUUUAGUGGAGUGUACACAUAGUUAACGAAUAUUGAUUAAUGUGGUUAAUGAGUUUAACCAAUUAAUCUCAUAUCGUUGUAGAUUCUGAAAUGUAAAUCCAUUAGGUCCCCUUCCUAGCUUGUAAAGGGUAAUAAAAUUUAUUUAUAUUGUUUGUAAUUUAAAAUGUUCAGGUUUACUUUGAAUUAAUACAUUCUAUGGUGAUACAUUAUAAUAUAAAAUUUAUAUUCUAACUAAACUUUAUUAUAUAAAUUUAAUCUUGGAUGUGAUUCAUAAUAAAUUUAUGAGAGAAUAAAAUCUUUGAAUGAGUUCAAAUAUUAAUUUAAUAUGAACUAUAUUCAUAUUAAAAAUAUAGGUUAAAAUUUAAUAUGUAUAUGAUACACGUUAAAACUAUAGGCUAUGAGAGAAAUUUAUACUUGAAUAAGAUUCAAAUUUGGAUUAAAUUAAAGAAGAUUUUUUAAAAAUAGUAAAAUAAAUUGAAAUACUUACUAGACAUAACAAAUUUUUUAAUUUUAUCACCAAUAGUUUUCUAUCCGUGUAAUAUCAAUGACUAUUAGCAAUAAAAUUUGUUAUAGAUUAUAAAUAUUUUGUAAAAUAGUGAGAAAUAUUUAGGUGAUCGUUUUGGUUGGAGCUGAGGUGAUGUGAGAAAUAUUUAUUUAAAAAUAAAUUAAAUAAAAUAUUAUUUUAAUUAUUUUAAUAUGAUUAUUAAUUUAAUUUAUUAAAUUUAUAGGAAACGUGGGUGGUUUUUCUAAUAUUUUUGUGAAAAAGAUUGUUUGUUAGUCAUUUGUGAAAUAUUGUAACAACAGACAACAAACAUUGCCCACCAUUAAAUUAAUAAUAAAACAAAUAAGUAUAUAUGUUUUAAAUUUUCUUUCCAUGUCUAUAUAUAACAACCCUACAGACGAGAAUUUAACACUAAAAUAAACAAAAACAGAUCUUUUAACAUAAUUAUUUUGUUAAAUAACCAUUUAUCAAAUAGAAAAUAUAAUUACUAUCUGAUUAACUCUAAAUUAACAUUCGAAACCAACCAUAAUUUUGAUUCUUUCUAAAUAUAUAAUAUAUAAGUUUGAUACUAAACAUAAAUAAUAAAAUCAAUUCUACAACAUGAUUUAAUUUUACAAUAUGAAUUGUACCUUAAUCAUUUGUUUCACAUCUGUUUUCUAUAUUGAUAGAACUUGAGCUACAAUACUCACCAUUCUAUUUAUGUGUGUUUGACUCUACUUUAUUUCGAAGUGCAAUGAUUUUUAAGAUAUCAUAUUCAUUGGCACAGAAAAUUUGUUGAAACAAACUAAAAGCAGAUGCAGGGAGGGAUAAUAUUUAAACAAUUAAAUAUCUUAAUGUGAAACAAAACGGAGCAAAAAUGUCGAAUUAUGGGAUGUUAAUGAAAAGACUUAUUGCCAAAAUCAGAAUCCACAUUCCAAGUUUCUGUGCAUUUUGAAAUGGGGGUUUAUACAAGGUUAAGAAACUAACCGAGGUGCGACGUAUCUUCUUCUUGUCGUGCUAAAAUGGCGCACACAUUCGUUUGGUCAAUCAUCCAGAGGCUGUCUUCUUCUGCUGAAAGACGACUGCAUAGAUCGGAACAGCCACGCCAAUACUGAAUGCAGUUAAUACUCCAAGCGUCAUGGUCAACUUUUGAUUUUUCAUCCUAUCCAAAUUGUACAUAUGCUUUGCGUGCAAAUAAUAAGGUUCAUCGUGUCCGUGAGCAUGUCCUCCCAUUCUCUUCACACCAGUUGAGUGAAACCCUCGUUUAGCUGUGGUACGAGGCCAAGCAGAACCAUCAUUUUUUUAGAAUUUAGAAACCUUGAUUUAGUGCAUUAGGAGACAAACGGAUAGAAUAAUCUAUGGAACACAGAUAUAAACACAAAACAAGAACAAGAGAUGGCACACCUUUUUUUCUACAUGUCUACAUGAAUAUUACAAAAACAUCGUUUGUUAAAAAAAAUCAUUUUCUUCAAGUAUAUAAUUUUUACUAAAAAGUCCAGAGGCUUGUGCAUUUAUAUUCUAAAGAAUAAACGUGAUGCAUAUUGUUCUCGAUAUUUAUUAAUUAUUUGAUGUAACUACACAAAAAAUAUUUUUUUUAUAAGAAACAAGUAUAUUCAUAUAACAAAACAGAACAACCUAAGGGCAAGGGACAAGAGGGUCCUCCCCGGAAAAAGCUAAGGAACUAAGAAAUGAUAGCCUUGUUGAAAAUCAUUGAAAGGCUAUACUUACAAAAGUGUUUGGUGUAAUUCGUACUCCACCAAGAAGCUAUGUGUUGCAACACAGUCCAAAAAGAAUCAAAAGAAUUAUAUCUAUCUUAAAAAAUUCUACUAUUCCUUUCUUUCCAAAUGCACCACAAAAGGGAUCGAGUCGCACAUUUCCAUAAGAUGUUUCCUUUUGGGCUAUAACCUCUAAUGUUGAGUCCUUCAAUCAUCCAGCUAUCAAACUUACUAGGAAGACAAAGCUCAAAGUAAAAAAUCCUAAACAAAGUGUUCCAAAUUUUUUUAGUAAAGAGACUGUAGAAAUAGAUGAUCCAAAGUUUCCUCUUCUUUGGAGCAAAGACAACACAUCGAGGGGCUAAGCAAUGUGUUCUUAACUUUUUUUUGUAGCUUCUCAUGAGUUUUAAGGCUUCUGUAAGCAAGCGACCAUAAGAAAAACUUCACCUUCUUCGGAAUUUUAUUCUUCCAAAUAUGACGAAUCAAAGGAACAGCAAUGGAGGGGAUCUCUUGGUUAAGUUACGAAAGGUAGACUUCGUAGUAAAGUUGCCAUUAACGUUAGGAGUCCAUUUAAGACUAUCAUUCCCUUCAGUGGGGGCCCAAUAAUGAAGAAUUUCUAAAACUGAGGCCGCAUUGGCAAUCUCGUUAUCGAGCAUAUUUCUUCUAAGGCCCAAAUUCCAGAAAUGAGUAGCAGUACACCAACAUUCAGCCACAUAAACAUCCUUAUUCAACAACAAAGAGAAUAAGUUAGGGAAUUUUUCUGCAAGUGUUUCCGCGGCACACCAUUUGUCCUACCAAAAUCUGAUUUUUGUUCCUUCUCCCAAAACAAAAGCAGAAAAAUUAAAAAAGAUCUCCUUGUGCUUUAAAAUACCAACCCAUAAUCUGUAAGAUUUUCCCCUGUUUGGAUCUUUGGUAGACCACCCAUUCUCCUCUAGGCCGUAGAUGGCCACAAUUAAACGCCUCCAUAAGGAGGUUUCUUCCUUACUAAACCUCCAAAACCAUUUAGUGAGAAGAUCAAUAUUCUUCUAAACGAGCCAAUCCCAAGACCACCAUAACAAAUCGGGGUGGAAGUGCAAUCCCAUUUGACGAGGUGAGCAAUUGGAUUCGUAGACCCUCCUGUCCAAACAAACUUCCUGAUCAUCUGUACCAAUCUAUUAAUAACACCGACUGGAGCUUGAGCAAGGGAAAAAAGAUAACAAGGGAGGCUAUUGAGAACUGAUUGCACCAGUGUUAGUCUACCCUCUUUGGAGAGGGACACAUUCCUCCACCUAUCGAAUUUAUAUCUGAAUCGCUCUUUAUCUGAAUCGCUCUUCAAGGUGUUCCACAUCUCUUUUCUAUUAUGACCCCCUCCCCCCCCCCCCCCCCCCCCCCCAAUAGAAAAGCCCAAAUAAUUAAAAGGAAGGCUAUCAACCGAGUACCCCAUAGAGUUACUAAAAGGAGCUAAGUCACCACUGUUAAGGUUAAUACCGAUCAGGGAGGUUUUAGAUCUAUUAAGGGAUAGACCGGCUCCCAUAAGAAAGAUAUUAUCACCUUCCACCAGUUCUCCAAGUUUCCAUCCUCCCAGGAAGAAAAAAGAAGAGUGUCGUCUGCAUACUGAAGGUGGGUUAAAUCAUCUGACAGGUUCUCAAAAUGGAAGUCUUUUAAAUUCCUUUUCUCAUUACAAUAGUGAAUAAGGCAGCUUAGAGCAUCUCCCACUAUUGUAAAAAGAAAAGGGGCAAGAGGAUCACCUUGACGAAUGUCCCUUUUAGCAAUAAUCUUUCCUCUAGGCCUGCUGUUAACAAUGAUGGAAAAAUUAGUUGUCGACAAGCAGCCCCAUAUCCACUUCCUCCAUCUCUUACCAAAGCCUUUAAGUUUCAUGGCCAUAUCAAGAAAAGACCAAUCCACCUUAUCAUAAGCUUUCUCCAGAUCAAGCUUCAAAAGAACGCAUUUUCUACCUCUUAAAGACCAUUCGUCAACAGCCUCAGAAGCAGUUAGAAUAGCAUCAAGGAUUUGCCUUCCCUCCACAAAAGCCAUUUGAGAAUCAUUAAUUAUCGAAGGAAGAACUUUUUUAAGUCUUGUUGCAAGCACCUUGGAGAUAACUUUAUACAAGGAGGUAACUAAGCUUAUGGGUCUGAAGUCAUUGACACGGGCCACCUCUUUCUUUUUGGGGAUGAGGCAAAUAUAAGUCUUAUUACAUCUUCUAUUAAUAAUUUUGUUUUUAAAAAAAUCUUGGAACACCCUUACUAGGUCGGACUUCAGAAUGUUCUACGAUUUUUUAUAAAACUCUCCAGUCAUGCCAUCAGGGCCAAGGGACUUGAGACAACUCAUCUCAAAGACAGCUUCUCUAAUUUCUUUUUCGGUAAAGGGAACCUCAAGUAAACUCGAAUCCUGUAAGCUAAGGCCUCUCCGGUUAAGACUGUCACAAAUAAACGGCGAGGAGAUCCUUGUGCCAUAUAAAUUUGAAAAGAAACUAAGGAUCUCAUCCACAAUUUCCUUCUCUGUGACAAGAGUCUUCCUUUCGAUACUAACCAAAGAAGAAAUAAUACUUUUACAUUUACGAGUCAAAACCCAUAUGUGGAAGAAGCUUGAGUUCUCCUCCCCCUCUCUAAGCCAAUGAAGCUUUGACUUCUGAAUCCACAUUUUUUGUUCUUUCACAAUCAAAUCAAGCAGAGCCACUCUACAAAUUUCUCUUUCCUUCGCAUUCUCCUCGUUGAGACAACUCGACUCUUCAAGUGAGUCAAGAGAGUUAAUCUUAUCAAUCAGCACCUGUUUUUGGGAGAAAAUGUUACCAAAAGUCUCCUUAUUCCAACUCUUUAGGAUGGCUUUCAAUCCUUUUAACUUUUCCAUGAAGGAGAAUAUAGGUCAGCCAUCAACAUCCAAACUGCCCCACCAGUUCUCGACAUUUUUUAAGAAAAGAUGAUGAUCCAGCCAAGCAUUUUCAAAUCUAAAAGGUGUGGGACCCCAGAAAUGUGCCCCUAUUUUCAAUAGAAUCGGAAAGUGAUCCGAUGUGGUACGAGGAAGUCUUUCCACACUUACUUCUCUAAAGAACUUCAUCCAAGGCUUGGAUAGAAGGAAUCUGUCAAGCUUUGAGGCAGCUGGCCUAAUCCCCGACCGGGACCAAGAGAACCUACCAUUUCGAAAGGGAAUAUCCACCAAAUCCAAAUCCUCAAUCAGGCUGUUAAAGUGAAGCAUACUUCUAGUCGGACGAGUGCCAGAGCUCUUCUCAUUUAACCAUCUGACUACAUUAAAAUCACCCCCUACACACCAGUUUUCGUUGCACAAACCAUAUAAGCUAGAAAGCUCCCUCCAGAAUUGGUCUCUAAGUCUAUAAGAGGAAGGGCCGUAAACACCUGUUAUCCAUCCAUAGAACCCAGCAUUAAACUUACAGUGAAUAGAAACAAAGAACUCCCCUUGAAUUGAGUCAUCCACCGUGACCGAGUCCUCUUUCCACAAAAUAAGAAUACCACCCGACGAUCCAUAAGCCUCUAAGGCUGCCCAGCCAACAAACCGACUACUCCAAACUGACUUCAUCAACUGUCGACCAACAAUGCUUACUUUAGUCUCUUGGAGAAUUACCACAUCUCGAUUGAAUUUCACAAGCAACUCUUUCACAACCGCUCUUUUGGGGCGAGCAUUAAGACCCCUUACAUUCCAUGAGAUAAUUAACAUAGAUCACCCUCGGAGCCCGGAGGAUUACUACCUUUUGCCGCUUGGGCUUCCCUUUCCCAACUACCUAGCAGUGCUUUAACUUCUCUAGUAAGCUUUUUGUUGCUGUUCGAGGAGGUCCCACCCUUCCUUCAUUGGAUAGGGGAAGCUCGUUGGAAUCGAGGGGUGUUGUAAGACCUCCUAUUGUUCAUACUUAUAAAAGGAAUGGUAGGAAAGUAAAUGCACAGGAAAUCAAUGAUGAGGGAAUGAUGCAGCAGAAGAUCGUGCCUAGUGGGGCCCACGGGGUAGGAAAGAGAGGGAGAGCAAUAAAUAUGCCUUUAUUGGGUUAGGGUAGCUAGGCUUUUUCUAUCAUUUUCUGUGAAAGGCUGCUGUAGCUUUUGAGGUAUUCUCCCAGCCCCCAUGUUAUGGAGCUGGGUAAGCUUUAUUGUAUUUUUCUUCUUAUUUCAUCUUGAGACUGUAUGUUAUCCUAUUUUAGCUGAUAUAUAUAUAAAUAAUCAGAGUACCGCCUCUGUUUUAGCCUCUUGGUUAGGAUUUAUUUGAUCUAGCUUGUUAGUAUCAAUUGAGGCUUGGAAUAUAAAAAACAGAAGGGUGUGGUGAUAAAACUUGAUGUUCAAAGUCAAAGGCUAUGAAACUUAUUGAAAUGAGAAACAAAGAGCACACACCGAGAGAAAAACCACGAUUGUUAGUUGUUAUUAUUUUCUAAUGAAUAAUACAAUAGGUACAAGGGAGAAUAAAUAUAAUAUACAAGGGAAUAAAAAAGGAAAAGAUUUAGGAAAUAAAGAAAAUAUUCUUAUAAUCUUUCCAUAAAUCUUCUAGGAUUCUAACAUAACUAAAUGGAGACUAGGAGUUUCGUCAGCAAACUUUUCUAUUAUCAUCCAUGGCAAUGUGAGAGUCAAAUUCAGAGCCACCAAAGAUCUUAGGCAAGAGGAUACCUUGCCUUCUUCUUUAUCACUAUGAAUAUGAUGAAUUUCUUAGGCAGUCUUACUUUGACAUCAAACCAUGAUUUUAUUAAAGGUUUCUUAGUGGGAAUGACUCUCUCCUAACUAAUCAUCUUUUGUUUGUGGACUUUAUUCACUUCCCUAAUGAUGAUGAAGUUUUUAUUGCAGAGUUGUUCCCCUUAUAACAUGUGAUUCUGGUUUUAUAUUUUUUCAGGAAAAGAUUAUGAGUGAAUUAAUGCGCUUGAGCUUAAGGUAACUAAGUUAAUUAGAAGCAUUAGUUUUUGCUCUAUUUUUUCUUCUUUGAUACAAUUAUCUAAGAAUUUUCAAGCUAUUUUCAUUAGUGAAAUGUUAAAUGAAAACAAAAUGAUGGUUUUUCAAAUUAUGUUUAUCAAGUCCAUCAGCUUAAAAUGUUGUUAUAAUGAGUUCUAAGCUAUACUUCAUAUAGUUUUAAAAACCAUAAUAACUAGUUCUAAGAUAAAAGAGGCUGUUUAUGAGAGUUUUAUAAGCGAAACUUGGAAUUUAAACAUUCUUUUUAAACAAUCUUUAUUUUCACAUCCAGAAUAUAAUUUGGGGGGGGGGGGCUUCGGAUAUAUACCAAUUUUCAAAUAAUAGAUAUGGCCACUAAGUUGGUCAUAAGGUGGGCACGAUAGACCAAAAAAAUCGAUUUGACCGACCGAUGAAGUCAUUUAGAGAACGAGAAGGGUUGGUCAGUGACGGUUAUAAAUGGUCUCUACAAAAAUAUAAAACCAAAACCACAUGUUAUAAAUGGUCUCUGGAAAGAGGGUAAGCAACACAUCGUGCAUUGUCCAAUGGAACAAACCCAAGUUUAGAUUGUAUGACAUGGACCUUGGCAUUGUAGAUAACAGAAUUUGAAAUUAAACUCUCCUUGCAACAUGGUCUUGUUGCUUUAAGCUCAAAAAAGAAUCCCUAAGGAGGAAGAUCAUCAAGGCUAAAUAUGGUUUGCAACAUUUUGAUCAAAAGCCAUCCAAGAAGUGCAAAGUUUCUUCAAGAAUCGCUUGUAGACCUUCUCAACCAAACGUGCCUCUUUUACAGCCACAUCCAUUGCUUGGUUGGAGAAGGAAAAACUACCGCUUUCUAGAAUGCCCACUGGAUUGGGGAUGGUACCCUCAGUAGAAGUUAUCCAAAACUUUAUACCAGUGCUGAGACUAAAAAAAUCCAUCAAAAAGGCUUAGAAUCGUGGAAACAGCUCUUGUAUUCUAAACAUUAGAUAGAAUCUAAAGAUGAGGAGAUUACAAGAUGGGUUUCUUUCACGCAAACCAAUAGCAUCUUACUAUAAACUCUUUGGUUUCUCAUCUCAAUCUGAGUGCCCCCACAUCAUCGGAUCUUUAUAAACAACUAUAGAAGCUUUCUUUCCUGAAAAGAAUUAUGUUCCUUUCUUAUAAAAACUAUCCAUUCUUGCCUAAACACAAUGGAAACAAAAAAUGCCCUUGGCUCUACAUUUCUCCAUUUUCGUGCUACCUUUGCAAAAGAAGCACCAAAGCACAAAACCAUGUUUCAUUCCACUAUCAAAUUUCAGCUGCAAUUUGGGGUGACCAUCUCUCUUCUUGCCCCCUCUUUGGACACUGUUGAUUGGAUCAAAAUGUUGUUCGUUGAUCACCCUUUCAAAACUAUUAAGAAGCAUCUACAGUCUAUUUUGAUCAGAGCAAUUUUAUGGAAGAUUUGAGAUCAGAUACAACAUAGUUUUUCAUGACAAAGAAAUAACUGCUGGGGAUUUUCUUGAGUUAGCUAUCUACCAUGUUUAUUAUUGGUGUAAAAGCUUACAACCUCUUCAAGUCCAUAGUUUAAAUUUCCUUGUUGCAAGUUGGAGAAAUACAUUUUAACAAACCUAUGUUUUCAUGUAUAUAUAUACACACACACACUCCUUCUUAGUGGUGCCCUAUACAAUGUUCAACGUUCAAGCUUAGAAGCAUUUGUCAGAAUGUUCAAGCUUCAUUGUCUCGUGUGCAUAGACUACGUUUUAUGAUAAACCUUUGUUGUUCUCUGACAAUUUCUUUUAGUUUACCUAUACUUUGAUUUACAAUUUAAUUGUCUAUUUAUUUAAGAUUGUUGGAGAAAAUCCUAGAAAUCUAUUAUGAACUUGAGAAGGAUUGUUGCAAGUUAAGACCAUAGGAAAGAAGUGUAAUACAUAAGGUAAAGUAAUUCUAAAUUGCCAGCUAAUAAAGUAACAAAACCUGAUUUCUCCAACAAUGGUUCUGAAGACUUCAGCAGCUUUGCACAUGACUUCAAUCCAUUGGCCAAAGACAUUUUCUCUGCUCACAGUUAGUUCCCCCUUUUCGGUAAUUUGCUCAACCAACAGUUCCUUUAAAAUAAAGAGAAUUUAAUCAACUCAUACUCAUACAAUAAAAAUAAUUACUAAUUUGAGUAUUGAGACGAGGGCAGAAACACCACUAUUUUAUCAAGAUUGCAAUCCUAUAAAAACUAAUAAAUAAUCGAAAACUAUAAUAUGUCGUAAGCAAAUACAAAAAAUAACCGACAUGGAAACAAAACGGACAUAGCAAACAUUCCAGGGUUCUACAAAUAAUACUAGAUGAGAAAUAUAACAAAAUGGAACACAGUAAUUCUUCAACUUUGUCAUCUGCUUCAUGUAAACACACAUUAAACUUAAAGCAACCAUCAUAUUCUUCAUUUCAGACAAUUACAAGAUGCAAGAAAAAAACAUCCCAACCAAAUCCACAGAUCUGAACGACACAGCAAGGAAACUACAAAAGUCCAUCAAAAACGGAUCCUGAAGAUUAGUUUUCAUUUAACUUGAAAUCGAUCAUAUCAGUAACAAAAAAAAUGAUAGAAAGAAAGGAAAAAUCGAAGGCCUACCGGAAAAUGAAAACAAUCAUGAAAUGAGAUAAACAAGAAAGAGAGAAAAUAGAUGGCUUACAGGGUGAUCCCUCUUGCUUUCGCGGUGACGAAGAUCGAAGGAAGACGAGCAGAGAAAACCUUCUGUUCUAUACACACGUAAUUAGGCCAACUUAGCCCAAGAAAAAACAUACUAUUAAGAAAAAAAAAGAUUGAUCAUUAAUUGAAUAUAAAUUAUGUUAUAUUUUAUAAAUAUUAGUAUAAUAGAUAUCCAUAAUAUCUUGUGUUCAUUGAAGUGUUAUUUACUUCUAAUUCCAAUUCCAUUACAUUGUUAUUCGUUAUUUUCCUCUGCAUUCAACAUUUUUAUCAGGUCUCUUGAACAAAGAUACAUGUACUUCAUCUAAUAGUAGCAUUCUGUGGGUUUUGUAAAACAUGAAGGGAUGUUUGGAGGAAUGAGUGAUUUAUGAUUGAGUUGGUGUUAUGAUAAUCUUAAUAUUAUAAUAAUGUAGUGUUAUCGUAUGUGUUUGAGGAAAGAAUUAUGGUAGAUAGUGUUAUAAUAGUAUGUGUUUGGGGAAAGAAUUAUGAUUGGUAGUGUUAUGAUAGUAUGCAUUUAGGGAAAAGAUUAUGAUAGUAGUAUUAUGAUCAUUUCUUUCUAAUUUAUAAUGUAGAUCCAAUACAUGAGAUUCUAUUAAAUUUAAAAAAUGUUAAAUUAAUAUCUAAAUAAAUUAUAUUUAAUUAAUAUCUCUCACAUAUCUGAUAGUUUUAAUUUAAUCAAAUUUAAUUAAAUAAAAUUAAACUAAACUAUUAAUUUAUUAAUUACUAAAUUAAAUAUCUUAAAUUUGUUUAUUUCAAAUUUGAAUCAUAUUCAAAUAUAAAUUUUUCCAUAACAUAUAGUUUUAAUGUGUAUUAUAUACGCAUUAAACUUUAACCUAUAGUUUUAAUAUGAAUCAAAUUCACAUUAAAUUAAUAUUUGAACUCAUUCAAAUAUUUCAUCUCUCAUAAAUUAAUUUUGAAUCAUAUCCAAAAUUAAAUUUAUAUAAUAAAGCAUAUCCAAAAUUAAAUUUAAAAGUUUAAUUAAAAUAUAAACUUUAUACUAUAAUGCAUCACCAUACAUUAUACUAAUUUCCAAAAUAAAUUUGAACAUUUCAAAUUACAACCAAUAUAAAAAAUCUCAUUACCCUUUACGAGUUAGGAAGGGGAUCUAAUGAACCUACAAAUUAGAAACUACAACUAUAUGAGAUUAAUUGGCUAGACUCAUUAAUCACAUUAAUCAAUGUUCAUUAACUAUGUGUAUACUCCAUUAAAUACUCACAAUUGAAUUCUUCUCACUGUAGAUAUAAUUUUGUGUCCACGGAUAUAGACUAGUAAUAGUAAGUUAGUCCUUCACGCAUGUUCAUAACACCACUUUGGUCAAAUUAUUGUUUUACCUCUAGGUUACUUAUAGUCCUUAAAUACCAGUAUUCCUUUAAUGAACAACUUGUUUGUGUCAAACCAAUAAACAUAAACCCUUAUCGUGCUAUGUAGAGCGUAGGGUCGUUUGUUAAGUCCUGGAUACACCAUUUAAGGGAAUACUCAUAUACUUACCCUAAAGUCAGGAAUGAGUGAAUUUCAUCUUGUGUGAUUAUGUUUUUAGGUUCUCAAUCGGUCUUGUCCUCAAAAUGAUAAGCAUAUUGAGUCAGCAAUUUUGCCAUUUUCACCCGUACAAGCAAUUUGGCCACUUUCAUCCGUACAAAUCAAAGGACAAUUCCUUCGAACAGGAGUUUCUAAUACACUUAGGAUUAAGACUAAGUUACCUAGGUCAUCCUAAUGAAAUAGAAACCUUACUAGUUAACGGAGUUACAUCUAGUGGUUACUAUUUUGUGGUUUGGUCCUAUGCAAACUCACUGUAUAAGAUACCCUCACUCGCACGUCACCUAUACGAACACGUUGGAUCAUUGCGUUUGUAUCAAAUACAAAGUGGGUCGUAUCUAUAGUGUUACUAAGAUAAGGUACCCAACCUUAUCCCUAUAUUAUAGAUCCUUUAAUCUGAUCUCGAACAUUGAUCCAUGUAUGUCCCUAUAUACUGUUCAAGACUCAUCAAACAACUUAAGAUAUUAGUUUGUUGGAUUUAGGUUAUUAAGACAAGGCUAAUAAUAUGAUCAAUAACGCUUAUUGAAAUAAUAAUAAUAUAACAACAUUUUAUUAAUAAAUAACGUUCAAUGAAUUAUAUUUACUAUCUACGAGUUUUAGGACAUAAAUCUCAAUAGUUUCAUUCCAUAAAUCUUACUUUUCUUGAAAUAUCGCAAAAUUAUCUCACCAAACUGCACAAACUCCCUUUAGAUCACUCGGUUCUUGAUGUUGUGCACUAGUAUGUGCAGGAACAUAGCGACCAUCUCUUCAACAUUGACAAUUUCCAUAACACUAAUUGAUAACAUGUAGAAAUACACGUUAUUAUAGAUUCUUUUAUUAGAAUAACGAGGCCAAAUUAAGAAGAAGUAUAUCAAAAUACGUAGUUUGUAUUGAAAUUGCAUAAAUACUUGGAAAUAUACUUUACAUAACUCCUGAUGUCUGCUUUUACCCCAUUUUCAGUGUCUCAACAUAGGAUUAAUAAGAAGGAAGGAACUAGUGAAUCGUAGAAGAGCUUGCGCAAGCGUUAUGUGAUCAGAACUCCAUACAAUUUCUCGACGAGAAACCAUGUUAUCACAUGAGGAAGGUUCACUAGAAGAUAACAAUGGUAGCUAAUUGGAGUUGAUAUGACUUUACAAUGCAGCAACCAGAGUUGAAAUGCUCGGAAAAAUAGAACUUUCCCACCAAAAGAUGCCUAAAAAGGACUCCACCUCCACCAUAAGGAGAAGGCCUGAAAGGGGCCAACGAGAACGCUUGAAGGAGCCAAAAUAAUAAUUAAUAUUGUAGAGAGAAGGGAAAAAAGGAACGUGAUAAGUGAAACUACCUCAAUCACGUUUUGAGAAAUCCCCUUAUUUUAGGUGAACCCCACAACAAUAAUAAGAAUAACCCCGAUUAAACAAAUAACUAACAACCUCAAGAAAGCUAAACAAAUUUUGGCUUGAAAAAGAUUGAUCAAAGAUUAAGAAGAAAGGAGAAUUUGUUCCUAACUUUAAGAUUUCAAACUCUCCACGAUCUAAUUGAUCAAGCUAAAUUGAAAGUCCUAAACAUGCAUUCUAACACAAGAAUACAAAGAAAAGCAUAAAGCUUGAGAGAUAACACUCUAUCGAAAUUUCAUUCAAAUUCAAGUUCUUCCCAAAAUGUGGAAACUACAACCCUAUUUAUACUAAUUAAAAAUGUUAUAUGAAAUGACACAACAUUUAACUCGUGCCCUUUCAACGACCCUAAUAAAUGAAAGUACAUAUCAUUUAAUAAAUAAAUAUUAAAGAUGUAAAUGAAUCUAAAAUGCAUUAAAUAUGUGAAUGAAUCUAAAAUGCAUUAAAGAUGUGAAUGAAUCUAGAAAUGCAUUGAAUAUGUGAAUGAAUAUGAAUUUCUAGAUUCAUUAUGACCAUUGGGUGCCCAAAUGACUUUUGAAGUUCCCACUCUUCAUUAAAAACCGAAAAUCUAGCUUGUAAACAAGCAUUUAAUCAUCUUGAAGUCUUUUAGCUCUAGCUUUUGUCAUAGAUGGUAAGUAUCAAGGACAUAGCUAGCGCGCACAAGGAAAAGUUUUCUCUUCCUUUGUGAGACAACUUCCAUCAUUUGUAUCCCAAAAGGUGAACAAGUGUGGGUACUAGGCGCAAAGAGGUUGUUGUCCUUAAUUGCGAAGUUCUAUACUGAAAGAAUUAAAGCUCUUAGCAGCGAAAGAUUUUACAAAAUCAUUCCUCAAAUUAAUUUGGAAAAUUCAAAAUACCAGUACAUUGACAAUAUUUAGAAUCAAAAUUCUAAAUAAAAAACUUAGCGUGCUUUUAAAUAUUAAAAGAUACAGAGAACUUACUCUUGUUGAUGUCUUUGGAUUCUACAAUCCACCGAGUUGGGACACCAUCGGUUAGAAACCUUCCUAUCCUCUGGGAUGGGAUUGGUUUUUUAGAACCAAUUGGAGUGGAAAAAGGUUUAGAAAGAAACUAUGUUUCAUAAAAGUAAAAUUAUUAGUUGAAGAAAAACUGUUUUAUUCUGCGUAUUUACAACUAUAUUUCCUUCAUGGAGUAGGAGAAUCAUGAGAUUCUAUUAAUUUAAAAAAUAUUAGAUUAAUAGAAAUUUCAAAUCAACUAAUUGAAUAAAAAUUAAUCAAUUAAUUAAAUCAUAUUUUAUUUAAUGAACAUCUCUCCAAUAUCUUAUAGUUUUAAAUUAAUUUUGAAUAAUAUUAUGCAUUUAUCUGAUAUCUUCUCGUGUUGAAUGAAAUAACGAGUUAUUUUUUGAAAAAUCAUGAAUAUUGUUAACUAAAGAACCAACAUUUCCUAAAGUGAAUGUUGUAAAUUUUAAUAAUGGUGGAUGAAAAAUUAUGAAUCUUAACCAACUAGAACAAUCUCAUUCACUAAAGUGAAUGUUGUGAAUUUAACAAUUUUAAUAGAAGUUGUGACCGCAUUAAAAGAAGAAAUAAUUAUUUUUUUUGGUUGGUCGUUAUAAUCAUCCAAAUUUCAAAAGAACAACGUGAAAUGAUGGUCAUAAAAGAAAAGUUUCACAAUGAAAAGAGGAAAAUGUGGAAGAAGAUUUUGUAUAUAUAUGAUUAAUAAUAUAUUUGACUCAUCCAAUAACACAAACUUGGAUGUGGUAGAGUUUUAAAUCUUCUAAAGAAAAAAUUAACAUAAUUAGAAAAAUAACAAGUAUGUCUUUUGUGAUUAUAUAUUAAUGUAUUGUUAUCUCUCAUUUUUCCCAUGUUCUAAGUUUUGUUUCUCUGAUUGUAAUUAUUUUGUUUAAUGAAUAAGCAUGGAUGACUAUUGACAGACAAUGCAAUUAUGUCUACAAUACUGACAAGUAAAAAAUAUUUUUCUCAAACUUACAAUACUGGAAGUAAAAGUCAAUACAAUAUCAAGUUCUACAACCUAAUUGAAAGAUUUGGAAAAGCAAAUAAGAUUUUGGAAAUUGUUGAGUUUGGCAAGAUGUGGGUUGUCCCACAUGUGAAACCACGUUCUAAUAAAGAGAUUUCUUGUAAAUUAAAAUUUGAAGUUAGCAAAAUUAAACUUGAGUAGGUGUUUUGAGAUAGCACAAGGAAAGGGGCAAAGUGAAGGAAUCAGACAACGCGUUGUGAAGAAAGGUAACGCGGUACAACAAGAUAACACGAGAAAGGAAUGUGGCAAUGAACACUUAACCAAUUAUUAGGUGACGAUCUAGGCGAGAAGGAGUCCGAUUAAUCAUCUAAACACGUGUUAAGUUUAAGUUAAGCAUAGUUUAAGAAUGACAUUAAACUAACAACAUGUGUAAUGCACUAAGUAGGAGCUGUCAAGAUUAGAAGAAGUAUAAUGUUGACUAAUCUGAUUUGAGGAGAGUAUAAAGGUUGAAGAAGGAUUAAUUCAAGUGUUUAGAUAAGAGAAAGUUUUAUCAAAUAAGUAAAAGGUGAAGCUUGGUUGUUGGACCAAGCGACGAGAGGGAAGAAUAGCUAGGCGAUAAGAAGGAGAAAAAUGGAAAAAGAAAGGUUUAGCUGAAUGAGUGGCACUUCAAAAGAAAAUCAAGCUUUUGAAAAAUGUUUUUACCACCAAAGUCACAUGUUGUUAGAUAUGAUCGUGUUGUAAUCUUAUACAUAUAAAAGAACAUGACCAAUUUGAAGUAUGUCUAUGUUUGUGUAGUUGUAUUAUUGUGGUGCUUGUAUGUAUACAAAAUGAUUAGUCUUAUUUAUGAUCAAAAGCUAGAUUUUAUGUGCACAUAAGGGUAGAGGUUGUCAUGCGCUAAGUGGUUCGCUUGAUAGAAGGAUGGUUGAAUGCAUUGAGUGGUUCGUGUUCAAGUUAAUAGCGGGAGCAACAAGUAUUGAAUAAGAGUUCGUAAUGAUAUUGAUGGUGAAGUAGUAAUCAUCACAGUGGUCCUUGUAUUGCGGAAGUUCAAGUACCAGACGUUAGGAAUAAGUAGAAGCUAAUGUGACUAUUGUAUUGUUUAACUAGUAUUGAAGCGUUAAGACGUUUUUUAAAAUAAGAAAUCUUUUAUUGUAAGCAAUUGUAUUCCACAAAACAUAUAUCUAAAUUCUUGUCACUCACUAAGUCAUUAGCUUAUGUUUUAAGUUUUUCCUUCCUAGGUUAAGUGAAGAAGUGGCAUUAAGCAAGAUAAGAGGAGGCCAUUGUUGCCUCUCCUAAGUACUUAAUGCGUCGUGUAGUAGUAGUUAGCUUAAGUUUUGUAAUGCUUUAAAUUGUAAGUUGUACGCUUGUGUUGUACCAAGUGGUUAACAAAAUAAUUAUUAAUUUUUUAUAGCAUCUAAUGUCCUACUGCAUAGCACAAACUUCUAUAGUACAAUCAUGCCUAAGGUUUAAGUUAAUUUUAAAGAAGUACCUAGGUGUUCUAGCGGUUCAUCUUGCAAAUGGAUGCUUUUCGUGUGGGGGCGUGCCACCACAUCGAUUAUUUUAUAGGAAGGUGGAUGGCUCCAAGGCUAUAAAAGAAGCCCAUGACCUGAUCCUUUGUUUACAAAUGUCUUGGUUAGAAGCACUUUGAGCUUUAAUGUGCUAACUCUAAUUAGAUUCUUUUUGUAUUCUAAACUUUGAGAGGGUAUUCUUGUAAUUGGGCUUGGGAGAGAGAAAGUUAUUCUAUGUGAUUGUAGCAAAUUUUCACAUAGAGGAUUUCACUUGGUUUUUCUUCAAGUUGGGAGUUUCCUACGCAAAUUUUUGUGUUAAUUUCCAGUUUUUAUUGCUUUCUUAAUUUUUAUGUUAUUGUUCUACUUAUUACUACUAUAGAAUUGGAAGGUUUUGUCGCAACACUAAUCAUAAACUGAGUCCCACUCAAGCCAAUGAGAAAAACCUCAUUGUUCAAGUCUCAAAUUCACCAUUUAAGAGAAAUACUCAUUUAGUAUUUAUCCUAUGUGGGAAUAAGUGAAUUUCAUCUCAUCUGAAAAAUAUGUCCCAACUCCCUAUUUGAUUGAGUUCUCAAAAUGAGAGGUUUAUUGAAUCAACUAAUAGGGUCAUUUUCACUUUGGCAAGUUAAAAAACGAACUCACACAGAUAGAAGUUCAUAACCCACUCAAGAUUAAGAUCAAGAUACAUAUACUCCUCCUAUAAAAUAUUAUUCUUUUCGAUUGACAAAGUUAUAAAGAGAUAUCAAACAUUUUGUGAUCUAGUCUUAUACAAACUCAUCAUAUAAGAUACCCCCAUUUAUAUGAAUUUAGAUUAGAUUGUGAUAGUUUAAUCGCUUGGGGUAUAGAUUGUUCAAACCCGCUUAUACUGUAUUCAAGAUCUAUAAUUGUCAAGAAUGUAUGACCUCUUGGGAUAUAGGUUGUUCAAACAUACUAUACAUGCUUUUGGGUGUCAAUUAAUUUCUUUUAAUUGUUUUAAUAUGAUAAUAAUCCAUUUGUUAAAUGAUUAUUGAGCUUGAAUAAUGUUUUAGAAGUAAAUACAUACACUUUCAAUUAAUUAAAGUAUUAGUACUUAAAAAGAUAUUAGCGGUGGAAAGUGCUCCUAUAAAUUAAUUGUAACUCAUUUGAUUAAAAUUUGCAAUUGUUUUAAUCACUUAACCCACUUGGAACGUUAUUCCAAUAGUUUGCCUUCACUCAGACCAUUAAGAAGAAUUUUCCUCUAGAAAAAACCUUCAAUCAAAUUUAGAAGCAAUCUAGAAAGGAGAAAAACAACGACUCUCACAAUCCCUCAAAUUACUCAACAAAAUUUAUAUUAUAAAUUAAAUCACGUUCUAUGUCAUUUACAGGAACAUAUAGAUUGUCCAUGAAAUUAGUUGAGAUGUGCAUAAUUGAUCUAGACAUUUGAUAAUAUUACAGAAAAAAAAAAAAACAUCUAGACUAUUUUUAUUAUUGUAUUUAUAUUGUCCGAGUCAUAUAUGAAAUAAAUUUACAGUUACUUAUCCACUAAAAGUUAAAGCAAUAUAUUUCAUUCACAUGUCUCACAGUACACAAAUUUUGAAUUUUGAAUUUUUCUUUACCAAGAAGCACAGAAGCAUUAACUUUAUUGAUCAAUAAGACAUGUUGCAACAACUAAAGAUAUAUCAUAGAUGCUAUCAACAAACAAAUAAAAGAGCCUUUUUUGUAUAACAAUGAUUGAUGAUCUUCAUCGGGGCUAUCCUUCUUGUUGAUUUGAAAAUUGUAUAUUCCUUCCUUGUUGUUCCUGUCAAAUUAACCAAGUAAACUUGAUUAAAAUGUAAGUUGAAAGUCAUGAAUACAUUUGAGUAAUUUAUCAACAUUUGAAGCUCAUCAUAAUGUAGUUGAUAGUAAAGUAUAUAACUUAACCUAAAAGUAUGAAGGUGGAGGAGGAGAUGACUUUUACAUAUAUUUUGUUGGUGCUGGAGAGUAGUAUACUGGUGGAGGAAGAUAGUAAUGGACUAGAGGUGGAGGAUAUUUAUAGAUAGAGGGUGGAGGAGAAGGGUACACUAGUGGUAGGGGAGAUUUAUAAACCGAAGGUGGAGGAGAGGGGUAAACUAGUGGUGGAGGAGAUUUAUAUAUGGGAGGAGGAGGAGAGGGGUACACUAGUAGUGGAGGAGAUUUGUAGACCAGGGGUGAAAGAGAGGGAUAGACAAGUGGUGGAGGAGGAGAGUAGUACGCAGGAGGACGAAGAGAGAUAAAUAAGCGACAAUGGAGAUUUAUAAAUGAGAUGGAUAAACGUAUGGUGGAGGUGAGUAGUAAAUAGAUAGUGAAGGAGAGUAGUAAACAGAUGAUGGAGGAAAGGGGUAGAUGGGCAGUGGAGGAGAGUUGUAAACAGACAGUAGAGGCAAGGGGUAAAUAGGUGGUGGAGGAGAUUUAUAAGUAUAAUUGAAGGUGGAGGAGAUGAGUAAUCUGGGGGAGAAGGAGGAGGAGUACAUUGGCGGUGGAGGAGAUUAAUAAACAGGAGGUGGAGGAGAUGAGUAGACUGGUGGAGGAGGAGAGUGGUACACCAGAGGUGGAGGAGAGGAAUAAAUAGGUAGUGGAGGAGAUUUAUAAACAGGAGGUGGAGGAGAUGAGUAGACUAGUGGAGGGGGAAAGUGGCACAUCAGAGGAGGUGGAGGAGGGGAAUAAACAGGUGGUGGAGGAGAUUUAUAAAUAGGAGGUGGAGGAGAUGAGUAGACUGGUGGAGGAGGAGAGUGAUCAUGCACCGGAGGUGGAGGAGAGGAAUAAAUAGGUGGUGGAGGAGAUUUAUAAACAGGAGGUGGAGGAGAUGAGUAGACUGGUGGAGGAGGAGAGUGAUCAUGCACCGGAGGUGGAGGAGAGGAAUAAAUAGGUGGUGGAGGAGAUUUAUAAACAGGAGGUGGAGGAGAUGAGUAGACUGGUGGAGGAGGAGAGUGAUCAUGCACCGGAGGUGGAGGAGAGGAAUAAAUAGGUGGUGGAGGAGAUUUAUAAACAGGAGGUGGAGGAGAUGAGUAGACUGGUGGAAGAGGAGAGUGGUACACCGGAGGUGGAGGAGAGAAAUAAACAGGUGGUGGAGGAGAUUUAUAAACAGGAGGUGGAGGAGAUGAGUAGAUUGGUGGAGGAGGAGUGUGAUACACAGGAGGUGAAGGAGAGGAAUAAACAGGUGGUGGAGGAGAUUUAUAGACAGGGGGUGGUGGGGAGGGGUAGGUUGGUGGUGGAGGAGAUUUAUAAACCGAAUAUGGAGGAUAUGGAUAAACUGGUGGUGGAGAAAAUUUAUAUACAGGUGGAGGAGAAGAUGGAUAUAGUAGUGGU